rnacentral:rRNA from 1 species
CCCGGGCCUUGUACACACCGCCCGUCACACCAUGGGAGUCAAUUGCUCCAGAAGUCGGCAAACCGCAAGGCCGCCGCCCAAGGAGUGAUUGGUAACUGGGGUG